rnacentral:rRNA from 1 species
AGAGUUUGAUCAUGGCUCAGAACGAACGCUGGCGGCAGGCUUAACACAUGCAAGUCGAGCGAAGUCUUCGGACUUAGCGGCGGACGGGUGAGUAACACGUGGGAACGUGUCCUUCAGUACGGAAUAGCCUAGGGAAACUUGGAUUAAUGCCGUAUACGCCCUUCGGGGGAAAGAUUUAUCGCUGAGGGAUCGGCCCGCGCCUGAUUAGGUUGUUGGUGAGGUAAAAGCUCACCAAGCCGACGAUCAGUAGCUGGUUUGAGAGGAUGAUCAGCCACACUGGGACUGAGACACGGCCCAGACUCCUGCGGGAGGCAGCAGUGGGGAAUCUUGGACAAUGGGGGCAACCCUGAUCCAGCCAUGCCGCGUGAGUGAAGAAGGCCCUAGGGUUGUAAAACUCUUUCAGCGGUGAAGAUAAUGACGGUAACCGCAGAAGAAGCCCCGGCUAACUCCGUGCCAGCAGCCGCGGUAAUACGGAGGGGGCUAGCGUUGUUCGGAAUUACUGGGCCUAAAG